rnacentral:rRNA from 1 species
GACGAACGCUGGCGGCGUGCUUAACACAUGCAAGUCGAACGGGCCCGCUCUCUUUUUUGGGGGUGGGUUGAGUGGCGAACGGGUGAGUAUCACGUGAGUAACCUGCCCCCUGCUCCUGGAUAACUGCUUGAAAGGGCGGCUAAUACGGGGUGUGCCGGCUGGUCCGCAUGGGCCUGGUCGGGAUAGUUUCAUCUUCGGGUGUCUCGGUGGGGGAUGGGCUCGCGGCCUAUCAGCUUGUUGGUGGGGUGAUGGCCCACCAAGGCGGUGACGGGUAGCCGGCCUGAGAGGGUGGGCGGCCACACUGGGACUGAGACACGGCCCAGACUCCGGCGGGAGGCAGCAGGGGGGGGUAUUGCACAAUGGGCGGAAGCCUGAUGCAGCGACGUCGCGUGAGGGAUGGAGGCCGUCGGGUGGUGAACCUCUUUCUCCGGUGGUGAAGGCCCUGUCCGUUGCGGCGGGGUUGACGGUAGCCGGGUAUGAAGCGCCGGCUAACUACGUG